rnacentral:ncRNA from 1 species
CACCAGGUUGAUUCUGCCUGACGUAGACGCUAUACUCUAAGAUUAACCCAUGCAUGUUUAUUGAAUAUAAAGAAAAGACGAACAGCUCAGUAACUCUUAUUUGAUUUGAUGUAUUAGGAUUCUAGCUAUGUUAAAUUAUAGGUAACAAUAAUACAAUAAGAAUAAGAUCUAUCAGUUAGUUGUUAAGGUAAUGGCUUAACAAGACUAUGACGGAUAACGGUAUUACUUUGUAAUAUUCCGGAGAAGGAGCCUGAGAGAUUGCUACUAAGUCUAAGGAUUGCAGCAGGGGCGAUACUUGUACCUAUGAUAUUAUAUUGAGGCAGUUAUGAGUAGUAUUUUAUAAUUAUUGUAGUAUUGUAAGUACUAUAUUACCAAGAUAAAUUCGGAGGGCAAAUCGAGUGCCAGUACUCUAGAGAUCCCCGGUACCGGCUCGA